ACUGGCAUAAAAAAGAUAGUCUGCCUAUGAGUCAAGUCUUGAUUCCAGGCAGCUGAGCAUGGACAGCAGUGUUAAGCCCACAUUCAUGGCCACGCCCACUGGCAUAUAAAAGACAGUCUGCCUGUGAGUCAAGUCUUGAUUCCAGGCAGCUGAGCAUGGACAGCAGUUCAUUCCUUUCAUCUCCUCCAACAUUGGAAGCCUGGGUCUUCCCUGCACUGUCUGCAGCCUAGAUCUGAAUACUCAACAACAAGCUCUACAAGCCCACACUUUACCUACUCCUAUCCAUUUAAUCCCCUAUCAGGGCUAACCCAUUGGGGGCACUCUGCAGGCACCGGCUCCCCUGAUCCUCGGAGGGCGUCCACUGUGCGGCUCCUUGCAACCCCCCUGGGGUCUGUUUUGGUUUCCCUCUCUCCCCCAUGGGGUUGUGGGUGGCGCUCCCUUCGGAUUUUCUAACGGCUCUGCACAUCUCUGGUUAUUACAAAACCCACUUCAUUCGUUAACGAAUCAACCAUCCCCCUGAAGAGACCACUUAGAGGUCGAAACGCGUCGGGGAACGCACAUCACACAGCAUAAAGCAAUGUUGUAUACAUUUGUCCAAUAUUGUGGAAUAUGUAUUGUAUCACCAGAUCCGUAAAGGGUUUUCUUUCAAUUUGUUAUGGCAUUUAAAAUGUAUGUUAUUGACAACCAUAAAAUAAACCAUGCUUUAUUAUAUUA